CCCUCGAUCUAUCUAGCUCUAACUCUAAGAAUUUUUAGAGCUAAGGAUAACUAGCUUCAAAAAUUCUUAUAAUUGCAGCUCUGCUAAACAUGCCCUUAUGCAAGCCUUGUCGAUCUCCACUUCAUCAAGGAAGCCCAAGGUACCAUACUCAUUUUCUGCAUCCAACCGUGUACCUGCAGAUAGGUCCAUCUUUCCUAGGGAUUGAAGACCUUUAAUCAGGGUUCUGUAUGUUAUCAUGUAAGGAUCAUUGUCCCAUAAUUUCAUUAGACGGAAUCAGUGUUCUGUAUGUUAUCCUGUAAGGAUCAUUGUCCCAUAACUUCAUCUAGGAGUGCCUUCAGAAGCAUAUUGAAACUCACAUUAAAAUUUAGUUUGAAUUUCGUCCGUUUAAUCGACCCAUCAAAAGACAAUGCCAGAUUUCCAGCUACAAUUGUAAGGGAGCAUAACAUCAUGUAAGAACAGGGCAAACUGCUGGGCAGAAUUACAGAUUUUCAGACGUUUCGGUCAUUCAGUGGGAAGGCCAUUUACAAUUUGUGGUAACACUGUUCUUGGUCAUUUUCAAAUUUCAGAUUAUUGGUGUCAGCUAUCCAUCAAAAGACUCUCAAUUUGACACCAAUAAUGCUUGACUAUGUUAGACAAAAAGAAGAAACUUUUAGAAAAAAUAUGUUACAAGAAACUGAUUGUAUCUUUUGCUUGCAGUGACUUUCAUAAAGCUAGGACUUGGGUGGUCCUCUUCCUUCAUGCCACCGAGUAUCACCUAAACAAAAGAAGACAUACUUGUACUUAAAUCACUGAUAUCUACCCAUCUGUGACAAGUUAGUGUUCCUGAAGGAAAGAAAAGAGAUAGGCGAAACGACCUGCUACUCAUACGCGAUGGAGGGGGUCUUUUAGAUUUUAGAAUAAUGGACAAGACUAAAAGGGACGAUGCAACCACUGUCAUCCAAAGAGAAGAGUGGGCGAAAUCAAGACAAGAUGUGGAGAAGCAUUUCAGGAAGCUCCGAGACUGACUACUCAAACUGGUUCUGAAGAAACGGCUGUUAGAUUUAGCAGAAAAAUGAUUCGCAGCGAUUUUGCUGUCUCUGCUGCUGAUUGUUUGGAGUAAGCAACUAGUGUGAUCAAUUGGGACAUCAAGAAAGUAGAUAGGUCGUGUGUAACAAUAGUUGUAGCAAAAGUAGAAUGUAUGCCUGCACAAAAACUGAAAGAUUCUGGUGAUUGCCGCUAUCUUGUUGAGUAGUCAUUAGCGAAGCUUAUGAAUCUGUCGAAUAUGAGCGAUCAUCUUUUAUACAAUUAUGAACUCAAUUGUUCUGAA